UAGACAGAUAUAGUCAGAGGAUACGGUACAGUUCGAGUUUCCGUGAAAUUGUAGAUCUUUACAAAUUGUAACAAUUUAUUCAAUAUUUUAUUACUUUAUUGACAGUUGUGAAGGAGAUGAAAAAUUACGUUCUGAUAUUAUACAUCGAGAUAUUCCAGGUUCAGUUGAAAGAAUGAUUGCUAUUCUUACUGAAAGCUUUGGUGGAAAAUGAGCUCAUUGAAAUCAACCAAUGAAAUCGAUCGGACCACCAAAUGAUCUUAAUAAACGUCAAUCACUCUACACAACGGUAGAUGCCCUCAAGACUCGAAAGUGAAAGGAAGUGUGCUUGGUGACAGCUGGUGUUUUGAAUACUUCGAAGUGAAACUUUGUCGAAUAUUUUUGCUUUUAGCGUGUAUUUUUGAAUCGAUAUUUUUUGAAAUUGUCCACGAUCAUCAUUGUUUUACGCUAUAUAAGUAUUUGUAUGUUUAGUUUGAGUAAAAAGUAAACUAAAAUUGAUAUUUUCAACCUUGUUCGAUAUAUUUUGAAAAAAUGGCGAAAUCUCAUUAUGGAUAUAGUAUGCAAAAAAAAUUUGCAUAAUGAAAGUAUGGCAUUAUGGAUAUAGUAUGCAAAAAAAUUUGCAUAAUGAAAAUUUACAUAAUCAUAACCAAUAGAUGAGGUAAGCGUUUAUUUUUUAUUUUUCUUUAAUUAUAAAUUUAGUGAUUACUUGUUUAUUUUCGUGAAGAAAACGAAGAACACUGGGCACGAAUUAUGCAAAACUGACUAGCUUGACUACGAAAAUACCCACAAAAUCUUUGAAUGGAGUGGGAUACAGGGAAAAAUUUGAAGAGUGUUGACGGCUACAGGUUCUUCAAUUCAAUAAGUUCGAAUGAUAGCAAUUUCAGUGGGCGAGAAAAAGAUUUUUAAUGAAAUACGAUGAAAAGAAGAUAAUUUUCUCUUGAGAAUUUACUAUGAGAAAUCAUAAAGAAUGCAACCGAAGUCGUAUCCUGGUUGAAAUUUGAGGCGAAGAUAAAACGGAUCGCUGUGAAAAGAACUGGAAGAGAACAAAGGAGGAGUAAGGAUAUUCAAAUGAAAGCAACAGACAGAGCGUAUUUUUAUGGAUUUACUUGUGCACACGUUCAAAAUUUUUUUUCCUUUUUUCUUAAAACUUUGCACGAAAAGUUUGUUUAACAUUUUUGUUGUGCAAUCACUAUCUUUGUCGUAUUUUGCUGGUGGUAGACGAGUACUAGUAAGGGUAGAAAAAUGAUUAGACAAUAGAUCAAAAAAACAAUUGUUGUGAACGAUCUAUCUGAAAACGAUGUUCAAAAGCAUUCAAAGAAGUCUAUAUGACUCCUCCAUUUGAAAUGUGUAAGGAAUUAAAACAAACAUUCCUUCAUGAAACAAAACUAAAUGUUGUUGUGUGCAUGUGCUAACGAUUUUGAUUAAAUUUUUAAGUCAAA